ACGCCUUAUACAUGCAAGUCGAACGAAGUAGCAAUACUUAGUGGCAGACGGGUGAGUAACAUGUAGGUAUCUUCCCUUUGGUGAGGAAUAACACGAGGAAACUUGUGCUAAUACCUCAUAAGUCUUUACGGAGAAAGCUUUAUGCGCCGAAGGAUGAGCCUGCACUUGAUUAGUUUGUUGGUGGGGUAAUGGCCUACCAAGACUUUGAUCUAUAGCUGAUCUGAGAGGAUGAUCAGCCACAUUGGGACUGAGACACGGCCCAAACUCCUACGGGAGGCAGCAGUAGGGAAUAUUGCACAAUGGAGGAAACUCUGAUGCAGCGAUGCCGCGUGAGUGAAGAAGGCCUUUGGGUUGUAAAGCUCUUUCGUCGGGGAAGAAAAUGACUGUACCCGAAUAAGAAGGUCCGGCUAACUUCGUGCCAGCAGCCGCGGUAAUACGAAGGGACCUAGCGUAGUUCGGAAUUACUGGGCUUAAAGAGUUCGUAGGUGGUUAAAAAAGUUGGUGGUGAAAUCCCAGAGCUUAACUCUGGAACUGCCAUCAAAACUUUUUAGCUAGAGUAUGAUAGAGGAAAGCAGAAUUUCUAGUGUAGAGGUGAAAUUCGUAGAUAUUAGAAAGAAUACCAAUUGCGAAGGCAGCUUUCUGGAUCAUUACUGACGCUGAGGAACGAAAGCAUGGGUAGCGAAGAGGAUUAGAUACCCUCGUAGUCCAUGCCGUAAACGAUGUGUGUUAGACGUUGGAAAUUUAUUUUCAGUGUCGCAGCGAAAGCAUUAAACACACCGCCUGGGGAGUACGACCGCA
rnacentral:rRNA from 1 species